rnacentral:rRNA from 1 species
AUUGAACGCUGGCGGCAGGCUUAACACAUGCAAGUCGAACGAGCGGCGGACGGGUGAGUAAUGUCUGGGAAACUGCCUGAUGGAGGGGGAUACCUACUGGAAACGGUAGCUAAUACCGCAUACCAUCAGAUGUGCCCAGAUGGGAUUAGCUAGUUGGUGGGGUAAUGGCUCACCUAGGCGACGAUCCCUAGCUGGUCUGAGAGGAUGACCAGCCACACUGGAACGGAGACACGGCCCAGACUCCUACGGGAGGCAGCAGUGGGGAAUAUUGCACAAUGGGCGCAAGCCUGACGCAGCCAUGCCGCGUGUAUGAAGAAGGCCUUCGGGUUGUAAAGUACUUUCAGCGAGGAGGCGUUACCUGCAGAAGAAGCACCGGCUAACUCCGUGCCAGCAGACGCGGUAAUAC